CCUACGGGAGGCAGCAGUGGGGAAUUUUGGACAAUGGGGGAAACCCUGAUCCAGCCAUUCCGCGUGAGUGAAGAAGGCCUUCGGGUUGUAAAGCUCUUUCGGCAGGAACGAAACGGCGGACUCUAACAUAGUCUGUCAAUGACGGUACCUGAAGAAGAAGCACCGGCUAACUACGUGCCAGCAGCCGCGGUAAUACGUAGGGUGCGAGCGUUAAUCGGAAUUACUGGGCGUAAAGCGCCCGUAGGCGGGGGUGAAAGGCGGGGGGAAAAUCCCCGGACCCAAUCGGGGCCCCGCGCCCGAGACUCCGCUCCUGGAGGGAAGCAGAGGAAGGCGGAAUUCCCGGUGUAGCGGUAAAAUGCGUAGAUACCGGGAGGAACACCGUGGGCGAAGGCGGCCUUCUGGGCUUCUCCUGA
rnacentral:rRNA from 1 species